CUAACGCCCGACCUGCUCGAGAUGGUAAAACGCGGGAAAGAAAAAAACACGGAAUUCAAAGAUCGAUGUUAACAUUGUUCCUGUGACAUUCACGGACGCGUUGAGAGGGUCCACAUGAUCAUCGCCGUCCAACUAGGUGUCCAUGACCUCCUCCUCUCGUUCUGCGGAGACAUCCUCUUGUAAAGCGACCCGUUCUUCACAAGAUAUACAUACAAAUGGGAUGUCAAUACCUUCUUCUACAGCUUCCUUGUAGUGGGCACGUGAAAUAACUGUAGAAAGAAAAUAAAAUAAGUAUUGGAACUGCUGUCUGUCACCUAAGAAUAAAUGCAAUAAAAUACAUUAAUUAUACAGCUGAUUUCUGAAAAAAAAAUCAUUGAAACACAUGUCUCCACCUAAGAGGAAAAUACAUUACCCGGAAAUGCAGCUGACAAGUUGGAUUGAUUGAACAUGAUCCUGUCUCACCAAGACCAGUAGCUGUGAGCUGAGCCUGAUCAUCUUGUACACGUUCUCAUGUAGAAAGAAAGCUACCACGAGAUUGCUGAUUUGGACAUAUGUUUGUUUUUACAUACAACUGACUAUUAAAUACAAUUGACUUCUAGGUGUUAAGUUCUGUCAAUGAUGGCAUCUAAAUUUUUCUCACUGA